GUGACGUCAGGGCCCCGGAGAGCUCGGAGAGGACAUGUGGCCCCGCCCACCGUGACGUCCGGGCCCGGGUUGAGUUGGGGGCGGGGCCGGGCGGCCUGGCUCCGCGCCCUCUCGUCCAGGCCUCCAGAGCGGGGAAACUGAGGCCAGCGGCCCCCUGGUCGCAAAGUCCUGGGCCCUCGGCCCUCACGAUCUGCUGCUCAGACCUGCAGGAUCACAGGGAGGCCGGUUCUCCCUCCCCUUACACAAAAGGGCUCCCUGUGCAGUUUGGGAACUGGAAACCGAAGGGGAAGCCAGUUUAGGGGGCACCCAGUUUGCACGAGGCCAGAGAGAGACAGAGGGGCCCGUCCUGGUCCUGGGGGGCCACAGCUCUAUGCAGACUCUGGACGCCCUACCUGCCUGGCCUGCAUUUGCCGCCCUAGGGCUCUCAGGCCCCAGCAGUGGGGUCCUUUGAGGAGGACUGGGGACUGCCCAGCCUCAGGGACCACCCGCAUCAGGGAGAACCAGUAGUGUUUCUUUGCCACAGGGACCUCGGCCCGGGAGACACGUCCAACAGUGAGAUCCACCUUUAUUGAAACAUCACACGGCAGCAUCAGGGCUCCCACACCUCACAGGGCAGCAGGUGGUUCACAGGGCUUCGGGGGGCCU
rnacentral:lncRNA from 1 species